UACGUAGGGUGCAAGCGUUGUCCGGAAUUAUUGGGCGUAAAGAGCUCGUAGGCGGUUCGUCGCGUCGGCUGUGAAAUCCCGAGGCUCAACCCCGGGCCUGCAGUCGAUACGGGCAGACUAGAGUGCGGUAGGGGAGACUGGAAUUCCUGGUGUAGCGGUGAAAUGCGCAGAUAUCAGGAGGAACACCGGUGGCGAAGGCGGGUCUCUGGGCCGUAACUGACGCUGAGGAGCGAAAGCGUGGGGAGCGAACAGG
rnacentral:rRNA from 1 species